rnacentral:tRNA from 1 species
GAUGGACCCUAAAAAGUCCCCUAAACAC